UGUUGUUUUUCUGAAAAUCAAUUUAAGAACUGUUCAUUUUUAGUUGUUAAGACUUUAUCGGCUUACUGCUAUUUUUUGGGCUUUUCUUGAAUGCACUUUUCAGUUAACAAGUCAACAUCAAUUCCUUUUGUUGUAAAACGGUAAAAGGAAGGUGGCUUUAUCUUCGGAUGAAGUGUUUAUAGCCUUUUACUUCUGCAAUCGGAGAGAUUGAGGUCUGCAGCGUAGAUCCUUCGGGGUUAGAUACUUCUAUGCUAAGCUAUAGUCCUAUAUAGACAACUUGUUGACUAUGUUCGAUCCUGUAACUUACUCGUAGAUACUAUUUUACCUAC
rnacentral:rRNA from 1 species